CAGCAGCAACACCACGUCCCAGUUUAAGAACUACUCCGUGAAGAGCACUUGAACUGUUGGAGACUAACGCAGUCCUUUGCUAGCAGGCUGGAGAACACGCCAUUGCCUUGAACCUGUGGAGUAUCAGUUAGUAUUCCGGUAAACAUCUUUGCACAUAAAUCUUUGAUGACAUACUGGACUGUAAGAGAAAUCCUCUUCACCACUCUCCCCGCGUUGAUUUGCUGGAUUAACUGGUAAGACACCUUCCGGAACACCGCUGUGCAUGCGG